AAAGGUAAAAAAUAUCAAUGAUCAAUUCCCAGUCCCCGUGCCUAUGACCUCAGAUGGGUUGUCAUGAUGGUGGCUUCUUUUGUUGUUAUGCGAUUUGUUUUUUGGCAAAAAUUCCUUAUCUGCAUCCUCAUUUUCUACUCACCUAAAUAUCUUUGAGUACAAACCAAGAUGAGAACUGUAAAUUGCAUUCUGUCGGUAUCUGUAAAAGAUAGGCUUUUUUGAAGAUAAAACUAUAUGUAGAAAUUCAUUCUUUCAAUGUACCUGAUGCUGAAAAGCAGCAUGUCCCAAGGAGGGAGAUCAGCUACUGGCCACCCCUACACAUUUAGAAAUGUAUCUCCCAGCUGUGUCUGAGAGGCAACAGUGGCAAAUUUGUGGAGACACUUCAAUGUUAUUACAGAUGUUCUUUGAUCCAGAAGGAAUAAAGAUAGUUGGUUCUAAAUCUUUAUUGAACUGCUAACAAAGUAAAAAUAAUUUGUAUUCAAAAUAGUGCAAGAUAUACAAUAAUGUACAAUAAAUUUAAAUGAGAAAGUUUUAUGCUGUAACAACUGAACCUGUAAAAUGGGAUAUCAAGGCUUUGUGCUGGCAGUGUGACCCACUCAAGACACUUAAACUCUCUCCAGACCAUUGGCUUAAUUUUUGGAAAAAGGAUGUGAUUGCAAAGGAAGCUGGGAAGGCAGAAGUAGAUUGUUCUUUCUAGUUGAGAAACAUGGAUAGACUCAUCCUACACACAACUGAUAGAGGAUAGAGGCUGGGGAAACAGCUGAUUGUGAGUUUAUUUGGAAUUAGCAGGAUUGUGUUUAGAGGCAGAGGGCCCAGAACAUGUUUUGGCAAAGCAAAAGGGAGAGAAAAAGACUUAAAUUCUUAGAGUGUGUGGAUACAUUUCAUUAGAAGAUGAACAUGAGAAGUCUGAGAAACAGACAUGGCACUACUUCGUGGAAAAAUAAGAGGCAAAGCUUGAUGCAGGAAGAACUUCGAAAUAUUUGGUAGAGCCACAUGUGACUGAUCAAAAUAUUCACCCUAAGCACACAAAACAAGAGUGUUAAGAUUUGACAGAUAUGGGACUCACCUUCAGCAGAAUGUGGCUUUAACAGAACUUGGGAGACCCUUCCAGAGGAGGGUGAUUUGUUCACAAAGCACGAUCACUUUGGAGACCUUGAUCCGAUUUCUACAAUAAAUGAACACAGCCAAGAUUGUUUUAUAAGCAGUUCCUCAGUGAAAGUGUGCAGCACAACUUCAAGUGGAGUUCAAGUUAACACAUCUGCUUAACUGUUAAGGCUUAACAGGUUUUACUGCAUACUUAAAUUUACAUUGAACUUAUGCUUCAUAUCAAACUCAAUUGAAAGAUCUUGGGGAUGUACUGAAUAUCGUUUGUGUUGCUUCCCCGUGGAUGCUUGCCAUCAGAAGUAUUUCAGUUGGAUUAUCUGUAGUUAAUGCUUGCUGCUACCAUGGGACCCUUCCAGGAGCGGAGUUUGGAGAUGGACAACCUCUGCUGCUUCUCAGCCAGGAGCUGCUCUGGGGCUUUGGUGUAGAGGGCACAUCCUGCCUGUGUACCCCCAGCCCUCACCCUCCUGCUGGUCCCCAGAACCAUCACAUGUCCUGACUCAGCUUACCAGCUCAGCCGUGUCUGUGGGAGCCCAGGCUCUGGCAGCACUGAGGAAGGCCAUGCCUGGGGCUGGGCAGAGGCAGCAGGGAGAGCUGGAGCCCAGGGGCAGCCUGUGCCCUCAGCUGGUGGCUGCAGAGGAGUGGCAGCCUGGCUGAGGAAGUUCCAGCCUGGCUGGCAGCAUUGCCUCUUCCAUCUCCACUUCUGCCCUUAUAAAUACACUUGAGUUUUAGAUGGAACCUUUGGUGGUGAAUCAGACAAAGCAGAAGUGGAUAAUUUCACUCAAGCAUCAUGGAUCUUAAAGGCAAUGCUGAACUCCAAUGAAGGACCACUGGCUUGAGCAAGUGCAUGACAAUUCUUGGGAUGCCUGUGCUGAAAGACUUCUCUUAAUGGACCUUGAUGGGGUUUGAUUUCAUUUGUUCCAGAAUGGGAUUGCCCUUCUUGCUGUUGCUGCAGGCUCAUGAUCUGGACCCAGCCCUAGGACUCAAGCAGGACUGAGGGACACAUGCAAGUGGUAAGAAGCUGGAUCAUCUUUCUUCAUCUGCUCACUGCCUUCACAGAAUUUGCAAGUGUGACAAAGUAUUUCAUCCCUUCACAGGAUUAGGGAUACGGAUUUGCCUCUCCCCGAGGUGCUGCUGGCUGGUUCACUGCCUGCUGGAGGGUGUCUCUCAGAUCUGACUUAACCUGAAGCAUGCACUUCCUCAGGAGGUCUGCAGCAGGGCUGGAGGAGAGCAAACACUGCAUCCCUUCCCUCCUGUCAGCUGCUGCCUCACAACUGCAGUGUCUGUGCUGUGCUCUCAGCUCCCUCACUCUGAAAUGUUCCUCGUGGUGGUUUGUACAGAGCUGCCUUGGAGCAGGCUUUGCUUUUGGUGGCAGUAUCCCUUGUUGCCAUGCCAUUAAUGAAGAUGGUUUUAGCCUUGCCUUUAUUCCACUGGGACCAGCUCCUCUACCCACAGGCACCAAAAGUGGCAAAUCUUCAUAACCUUUUUUAAUUUUCAGUUGAAGCUCUACAUCACAUGAACUUCUUGGGGUUUUUUGAGAGUGUAACUCACUCUGGAAGCUUGAUUUAUUGUUUUGGAUUUGUAGCUGGUGAAAAGGAAGUUAAAAAUAAUUUCCAAAACCUGAUCUCUAGCAGAUGGAGGUCUUGCAGAAAAACAGUCAGUUUGACAGUUGUACAGGCAAGGAAAAAUCCUUUGGGACCAGAAAAGUCUUUGGAGAAUGGAGAAAGCAUGAAUGUGUUCCAAGACAAAUACCCUACUUCAAUUCCAGUGACUUGGACAUGAGUAACCAUUGGGAGUCGUCCUGUUUCCAUUCUGCAAAGCUGCAGUUGCAUGAUGUCAGCUGGAAAGCUGCAGAAGCUCAGAGUGGUGUGUGCAGCUGCUCAGCCCUCUGGGCACAGCCUGCCCCUCUGUCUGCAUGGGGCACACAUAAACUGGGCCUGGUUUUAGGUCCCUGCCUGAGGACUGCUGACCCUGUCCUUACCUGCAAUGUUCCUGGUGUUGGGAAAAUGUCAGUCCCCUUUAACUUUCUCAUCAGCACAUCAGCUCCUGUCUUUGUGGCCAUGGAUCCCAAGUUCCUUGUGAAGGAGAGCACUCAGCCUAUGCAAGGUGGUCCUGCACUUCUGAAUUCAUGGCAUGGUGAAUGAUGUUUUGGAAGGCAGAUCGUCAGAUGCUGUUGGAAAAAUCUACACAUGAGCUGCUUAAUAUAGUUCAUUAUAUUGGAGCGUCUGCAUGAAAGAGGCAGGAGAAAAGGGUUGCCCACAAAUAUUAUCAGUACAAAUCAGCAUGUUAUUAAUGCAGCCAAAGGUAUGGUCUGUUUCUACACCCACCCUUUAAUGCAUGUGAACGUGCUUAAUUCUGUGAGAACUUGCAAAGCCAGAAGCUAUAUGAACUUGGCUGUCACACACUUCUUAAAGCAUUAUUUCUCCUUUUGCCUCUUAGAGACCCCUCUAAUGCCAAAUGGCCCAAGAACUUCAAAGACAUACCACAAUUUAAAUCUGUCCUUCAUGCUUUUGCUUCCUUCAGCAUCUAGCUGUGGCAAGGGCAGCUUCUCACUGGCUCUAGGGGCUCUCUCUUCAGACUUUUAAAUGUAAGUGAAUUAUAACCGUUCACAUUACCUGGUCCAGCUGCACUAGAAAUGGGCAUCUUGACUCGUUAGAAAAACAGGCAUCUCUCUUCCACUGGGUCUAAACUCCUCAUUAGCUUUGAAAUAUUUCACUCUGCUCCCACUCCUCAAGUUACAGCUUCUUUGGCCAAGUUCAUUAGUUCUUAUUUCCAGAAACUGCUGUAUCUCACAGGGCUUCUGAGCUGGUUACAAGGUGAUUAAUACAGGUGAGGUACCUGUUCUAAUUUUAAUGUAACUGGCAUAAAUUACUUUCUGAAGUUGCAUUUUCUUCAAGAGAUGGAAGUGAAGAGCAUUGAUGUGCCAUCUUGGAGCAUUUAUAGGAUGAGGGUCCUGAAUUUUCUCUCUGCAUGCUUAAUUUUGUGUAAGCUUUGCCUCUUUCUUUUGAAGAGUUGCUGUAACUACCAACUUAACUACUGUAGUAACACUGGGAACACAAAAUAAUGAAAAACAGAAAUGUAAUUUAGCUAGAAACCCCUAAAUGCAUUAUUCUCAUGUUUUAACCUAGCUGACUGGGUUAAGAGGGCAAGUGUGGAAGCAACACUUCCCACUCCUGGCUGUCCCAGUGUGCUGUUCCUUCCCUUGCUGGCCAGCAGCAGGCAAUAGUGUCCUGUCAUGUUCAUGUCCAGGUGUUAGUGGGUCUCUAACCUGGACUGCUAAGGGAUGGAAUUAGCUCUGAAUGUGUGAAAUAAACUCAAGCAAUGGAAAGGAAAAAGGAAGGUGUUACUAUAAGACCAUAUAUGUUGCUGAGGUAUGUAUAUAUCUCUUCUUUCAUUGAGCUGUGGUUAAUCAGAAGAUUUAUGUUGGGUUAUUUCUGAAGAAGAGACUCCCCCAUUUAAUGUCCAGCAUAGGUUGUUGUUUCAGCCUGAGCACGUAUGCUUUGCUUCUGGUGUAUUGGAAAAAUGUGAUAAUGUCUAAAACAAGAAUUAUGUGGGAAAGACAUGAAGAUACAUAAAAUGAUGAAAAUCCAUGGGUAGAAGGAUCUCGUUAAGUGGACUCAGGGGGUUCUCAUAAAUAUCAUUUAGUGUGAUGUAGUUCACAUGAUAACAAGAUAUUUUGUUCCACCAGCAAAAUGGAGCAUUAGCUUAGAGGACUGGAUUACUCAUGGCACAAACAUGGCUGUUAUGUGCAAACUUUCGGUGUUCUGCCAAGGUCAGUUUGUGGGGGUUGAGAUGAAACUGUUUCCUAAACUGUGAAAGUGAUCCUGGGUACCCAGGCUGCUGGAAUGCCUGGAGGUUUUAUGGAUUCCUUCCCCUUUAGCCCACUAGCAGGGUAUCUGCUAAUGCAGGCUCCCCUUUCCUGCCUGCAUUGCUCUAGUGAGGCCGGCCUUAGGAGAAGCGUUGUUUUGACUCACUUUUUUUCUGACUUCUUGUUUGCCUGCAGAAGGAGCAUUUACAGCAGCCUAUUCUGUAGAUAACCAAGGCAAAAUGGUUGACCUCAGGCUCUGGAAAAGAUGACUGUAACACUCAUGUCUGAAUAUGACACCAGACCCAGGAUAGGAGUAGGAAGGUGUCAAGUUAUAGUCAGAUCUACUCUCACAGCACCUCAGCUGAAAAUAUUUGUUUGGGAAGGGCUGGUGAAAGGUUUCAUGUCAUGCAGGUGAAGGAAACAAAAGGUAGGAAAACGGAUUUUGGCCUGGGGCUGAGGAUCUACAGUGGGCUUGCUCCUCCUGUCCACUUAGAGGGGAUGUGCACUGGCAGAUGCUGUGACCAGGCAGGUCUUGGCCAUGCCUGGAGCUUGCCAGGAAAGAUCAUUCCUGAGGGUGCCUAGCAGAGCUCCAGCUAUGUUGCCCCUGGCUUUGUGCCCUCCCCUUGCAGCUCACAGGCUGUUGCUGGUCUGGCUUUGCUUGCCCUGCUCCAGAGCCUCAGCCACAGCUUCCCAUUUCUGAUGGCUCAGAGCAGAGCACCUUUGCUGAAGCUUGAUGUUAGAAGCAUGCACUGGAAUGGAGGUGUCAGAGUGGUCUCUAACUGCUUGAAGUGGUGCAGCUGAAAACUGUGUCACUUUAGGAAUAUGCUUUGUUCUGGAAGGGAGUGGAAGACUAAUGGAGUGAAGUUGAUAAGCAGCAAAUGAAGUUGGAAAUACGUGUUCAGGGUGAAGUCAGGGGAUCAAACACAGAUUAUAUUCCUCUGCCUGACUGCCUUCAGAUUUUAUAAUUCAUUGAUUUUUUGCCUGUGCUAUACAGGAUGCUAAUUCAGGAGUUAAAAAUCUAAGGGACAUUUAGGAGGAUUACCAGGCUUCCACAAUGUCAAUGUCAAACUUGGAUUCUGGGAAGCUCUGUUUUAGGGCAGGACUUGAGGAUGAAGGUUCUGUGUGAGUGCAGAAGUAGGAUUAAAUUUCAAUUAAGCCCAGAAAGAAAUACUAGAGGGCUGAAAGAUAUUUUCCCUCUCUUCAUACCUGUAAAGAGGACCUUGUCCAAAUUCCCUUAAUUUGCUGUAAAGUACAUCUGCGACCUCAAGUAGAUCUCAGCUCCAGUGUAUUUACUGUCCCAACAGAAACAGUGCACUACAACCUCACCCUAAUUUUACUGGAAUCAGCUGCCACUGCUCUGGAGAAGAAGCAAGAAAAAACAAAAUUAUUAUCUGGAUAAACAGCCUAUUAAUUUGAUGACAACUGUUGUUCUCCAUUUCAGGGUCCAGAGAGCAGCCUGGGCAGUGAGCUAAUGAGAACACCAGAGCCGUGCAGCCUUGGGGGAGGUGGGGGGUAGAGAAGAAAACAGAACAAACACUCCUUUUGUAGCUUGGAGCUAAGGGGAUUCAGCCAAAGGUUAAUUGCUUUCUACCCUAAAAUGCUGUGAAGUGUUGCUGCGUGGUGUCAUACAGCUGCUUCAUCCCAGCCUAAGGGUGUCUGUUUCACUGGUGGGUGGCAUGAGCCAAGAUCCUUUUUUUAACCGCACGGGGGUGUUGCAAGGUCUCUCGAGUUAAGGCUUCCAAAAAUCUGGUGGAGCUUGGUUGGUAUUGUUUAGGAUUUCACCACAUCAUGGGAGCAGUUAGCAAAAACACCAAAUGAGCACCAAAAGAACAGAUUGCUCUUCACUAGGAAAUUUUUUUAGGGGAUGCAAGCUCAUUGUUUCCUCUGAUUCUUCAUUAGACAAUCAAAUGAAAGAUGCUGCAGGAAUCAAGAGAUAAGGACAGAAAUGAGUGUAAUAGUAAACUUCACCUCACGGUCACCUUUGCCUCUUAGCCAGUGUUUCUUUAAAAUAUUUUCAAAUUAAAGUGUGAACUUUAAUUAUAAUGCUCAAAUCUGUUAUUCCUAAGAAUAAAAAAAAAAUCUGUUAUUUUUUUCCAUUAACAAUUCUGCUCAUGCAACUUCUGCACUCUGUAGAACUUAAAGCAAAAAAAUAACUUUCUAUUAGAAUAGGUCUGUUGUGACAGCUUGGAAGUCUCCUUCUGGUUGGAAGGACAUAAAAAUUUCAAAAAAACAGAAAGUUGUAUGUGGGGAAAAUCAUCCUGUGAUGUUGUGCAGUCUUGUGAUUGCAGGUUGCCCAGGUUCCUUUUUCUGGAGAUCAUCAUAGUGGAAGAGAAUUAGAGUAUUCAAGUUGGAGGGGACCUACAGUGAUCAUCUAGUCCAACUCCAAUUGAUACUUGUGAGAUUAAAUAGAAUUAAAUAGAAAUGCAAUGUCUGAUUUUCCUAUAGGGUAGGUAAAUUUCUGAUUUUAGUGUUUGUAUGUGAACUCUCAAUAUGGCAAAUAAUUCUGUUGAUAUCACUUCUCUGACCUGUUUGUCUCAGUUUCUCCUGUCUGGUCAUUCUGCUCAUUUCCUUGUGAACAUUUUUAUCUUUUACUUUACUUGUGCUUUCAACACUUAUUUUAGUUCAUGGCUCCACAACUGAAGUUUAUUAUAUACAGGGUUUAAAUUAAUGACCAGCAAGCCUGAGCAAGUGUGUGCUUGUUGAAUGUCAGAGCUUGAGUAUUUUCAAUGCCCAGUUCAGGUUAGGAGGAGCUGUUUCCUCUGUGAUUCUUAUGCCAAAUGACAGGAUGGUCUGAGAAAACCCUGAACACUUCAUUAGUGUCUCUUCCUAUCUCAGUCAUGUGUGCAUGGCUCACCCUGCACUUGCCCAAAAGGCAAAGUGUGGGGUCACAGCACUGUCCCAAAUGACCAAGGUUUCCCCAGAGUUAAUUCCCUCAGAAAUGAGACAAUGCAGGCAAUAAGGGCACUAGAGAUGGGAGUGCUUUGGGCUCUUGUUUGCCCUCCAUCUAACUCCCUCCCUGUCCCUUUCUGAUAAUGAAAGAACAGGUCCCAGUUCUUCUGCUUCCAGGGAAUAGUGUUAAGUCUCAUGGUGCUCAGGCAGCUAAUGGUCCAAUUGGGAACACAGACCCUUAGAGCACUUUUACCAUAUGGGAAAUGUUUAAAGCAUUUUUUCAGCAAGGUUUUGGAGAGUUCUGCUUUUGAAGUCCCUUAUUCCAAAUAGGGUGAUGUGUGAACCUCUGCUUUUGUCGGAGCUGAGUAUCACAAACAGGAUGAGGCUCUCUUUCUGCGUGUCAGUACAAUAGAAACACAUGAGUUUUUCUAUGAGAAGCUUGUCUGACUCAGCAGUAUUGCCUAAACUUUCAGAGACAACUGCAACCUACACUACACAUGGUACAGUUGUAUGGUAUCGCUCCUGUUUUCUGUUCCUUACUUGUUUUCUGGCCUAACUGAAGGUGCUGACUUGUUAGUUUGGAACAUGAAUGGUCACUGAGCCCAGUGGGACUGGGGAGAGGGCUUGUAAUACUGAUGGCAUGACUCUAUUAGCAACAAUUUGUGUGAGUAAUGUGGUAGAAUAGUUAUGAGCCAUCUGCCUGCAUCUGCAGUUGCUCAGCAGCCUGGAAGUGCACUUUGAAGUCAGCUUUACUGGAGCUGACCCUGGUAAGUUCUUGCUUUUCAUUCCUAGGACUGCUGCACAAAGUUAACAUCAAGUGCUGCCUUGGAAUCCUGGACCUUUCCUUGUAAUCCUGAAUCUUUCCAGUGAAGCAGAUAGGAAUUCUGAAACGUUCUGCAGUGUCUGAGAGAUCUUCAACAUAGCUUUAAACUUUUGUGACUAUUUAAUGGGAAAUGAAUCUUUCCUUGUUUUCUUUUUUUUCCCCCACUUCAUAAUAGCAUUAAACUAAUUUUCUGCAAACCUGCUUUCAACAGUCUAGCUAAUUUAUACUGGAAGUAAUUGGACACACCUAAUGAAAAGCAGAGUGGAAUUUUGCUGUUGAACUGCAAUGUUCUCUUCAAGUCACUGGUCUCUUCCAUUUGAUAAUUGUCAUAACAGCAGUUAAGUAACCUGACUUCUCCUCUUUCCUGCCAGUGAUGAAAGCUUAAAAUGAGUCUUCAGAACUGUCACUCUUCUCUAAAGUUUCCUUAACGAAAUGGCAUUUACUCCUCUCUUAAUAUUUUGCUAUCUAACAUUAGCCUUCAGAGAGCUCUCACUGCAAUAGUCAACCAGGCAAGGGCUUUAGAUACUCUCAGGGUACUGCUUAUCUUGAGGAGUCCAAGGGGAUCAUGGUGAUGCUGUUUGUGACCUCAAUCUCUUGUUGUGUAGAGACCAUGUUCAUUUACUCUCAAAUCCAUUAUAAAUUCAUGUUACAUGCUUACUCACUCAUUCCAUAGUGGGAUUCUGCUCCAUACCCAGAGCUGUGGUGUUUCUGGGCAAGAGCAGCAUUUGUGCUGCUGUUGUGGUUGCAGUUUUUCCUGAUGUGCCCCUGGCAUGGCAGGUGCUGUAUGGACGGGGGGUUGAGUUGUUCCCUCAGCUCUUUUGUAGGAUUAACCAGGCACUACCUUUCUUGUGCUUUGUGGGGUUCUCAAUCUCAUAGCUUUCUUCAGCCUUCAGAGAGGCUGUGGGGGUAUGUACAGAAGGCACCACAGAGCUGUCAGUGAGCUGUAAAUUGCUGCCAUCUACCAGCUCAUGUAGGGGGCUCCCAUCUGGUCUGGUGUGUGCUGGGAUCUAUGCUCUAGCUCCAAAUCCUGGCUCCUAGGAUUUGUCUUUGACUGGGCCUGUUCUCAAACAUUUGAAGGAGGUGGAUGUCUGGUCUCAUCUCUUCAUAAACAAACCAACCUCAUCUGUAGGUGCAUGCAAAAAACCCUCAAAAGACCCAAACCCAAACAAAAACAACAACCAAAUAACCCAACCCCGAGCCCACAAAAAGCCCCCCAAGCAAUCAAACAAAAACCAAAAAAGCAAUAUGGAUUUAAGGUUUUUUAGCAGUCACUCUCUUGCCUAACUUCUAUGGGACUUCUUUAUGUUACAGAUUCCUGUCCCAGAGGGGUUUUUAGCAGUGAAGAGGGUCGGAAGGUAUUUGAGCUGCUACAGUAUAUCGUGUUCUCAGCAAGAGCUUCUGCUCGCUGUUCAGUCCAGAGAGGGUCUUGUCCAUCUCUGUGAGCAUAACUGUAAUGCUAUGAAUUAUUCCUUGUGGAAACUUUAGCUAUUGUACUUAGUGGGUUUACAGGAGCUUUUUCAGUCUGCUUUUAAUGUAUUUGUGUUGGUGGGGAUUCUGAGUGGAAUUACAUGCCCAGGCUUUCAGAUAACUGCUGUAAAUACACAGAUCCACUCUAGUCCCUUACUUCACUGUAGCAGCUGCUGCGGUGUUGCAGAAACUUCAUAGCUUUGACUGCAUCUUAUUAGUUCAGCACACUAUUAAUAUCCCAGAAGCUUUUUGUAUUAGUUUCCACACUUAAUAUUGGUUCUCUUUCCUUCUUCCCUGCCCCCCUUCACACUCAGUCAUUAAACUAAAUUCAUCUUGGGGCUUUUUCAUUUAAGAUGCCCUUGCUGCCCACACCAAAGAGGGGAACCAGACUGGAAGCAAACCAAUUGUGCUAACAGUCACCUGGUAUAUUUAGUGGCAAUGUCAUCUAACAUGCAUUUAUGCUCAGAAGUAGUGCCUUUCUGCUUCUAUAUGGAGCAUUUGUAGUGUUGGCAAAAUCUUUCCAGAGAAACAGCUGCUGAUUGGCUCUUGUCUAUUUGGGGAAGGAUCUGUCCUUAAAUACUUAGUUAUUCUGCUUUCUAAAAAUGGCAUCGAGCACUUGGCACUAUGAGGAUUGGACUCAAAACUUUUACUGAGAUGAACUGGGUGCAUUGCACCAAGACCUGGUGAAUCCUUGUCUCCCCUAGAGGAAUGACUGCACAAGUACCAGCAAGUGGGUGCAGGCACAUCUAGGGCAAGUCAGUGCCUGGGGCUCUAAAAUGCCAAUUGCAGUGUUCCUCUGGAAGGCUUUAAAACCAAAUGUCACAUUAUUACGGUUUAGUGGCUCUGGUGAAAAGGCUACAGGACUGAGAUGCAUCUCAGCUGAUAUUUCUUCUGAAUGUAAAGAAAUCCUGUCCCAAAUGGCAGCAAUGCCUCUCCUUUGAGGUGUUGUGUCUCAGAAAGGUGGAGAAUACAGGCUGUCCUUUGAAUAGGGACUGGGAGCCAACUUGCCUUUACCAGUCUGUGCUGACCAGAGACAGGGCAAGGAGGAAGGAUCCACCAGCACCUGGCACAACUGCCCCAGCCUCCAAAUGCAUAAACCUGACUGACACCUAACUCUGACUGAGGAGAAGACUCUAGGGUGAGCAGCUCACCAAGAACAGAAGUGUUGCAGCCCUUUGGUUGACUGUAGGUGCUUCCCACUGUUCCUCAGAUCUUACAAGGUCAGGAAAACUUGACAUCCAGAGAGCUGGUAGGGUACCAAGGGAAGGGUUUUACCCCAGAGCUCAGGGGCUUUGCUCACCUCUGAGCUCUCACUGUGACACCUCACCUAAGGGAGAGCAGUGGGUGAAUCAUGUAAUACUCCUUUGGAACAGAGGCUAGCUUAGGACAACUUGAGGGUCUAGGACACUGAAAUAUCUUCCUGUCCAAAAUAGUUUGAAUUAGUUGAUCUGCGUGGCAUGCUGCCAGGCUUCAAGGAGAACUAGGGAGGCCUGGCUACUGGUCAGCAGGCUGGACUGGGAGGUAGGAAGUUAUUAAUAGCUGCUUUUCCAUGGAAAGAAUGAGUUUGGCUGAGAUGUGAUGUAAAGCUGCUAACUGGUACAGCAAGGAAAUGCUGAAAGUCUUUGUCUAUUAUCACUUGAAGGAACUGUUAUGCCUUGUGGAGAGCUUUGAGCCUCAUGGUCUCAGCUCUCCUGGCAUUGGCCUCUGAAUCUUGAGCUCUGUGGUUGGGCAGCACAGGUGCAGGUCUGAAGAAAAGAAGCUGUCAGCUCUUGGUCAGCCUCAGGGAAUGGUUGGUGUGUCUUCUUUUCCUCAGCAAGUUUAUGUUCCCUCAAGGUCCCUUAUGAUGCAGUUCCUGCCUGUAGGAGUCACCUCUUUGUUUCUGAAGCUACUUAAUUUAAGGAGAGAGAAGUAAGAAAGAUCCUUUUCUGCACACUAGAAGUUUUGGAAAGAAAGAUUAUCUCAAAACCUCAGACAAGACCAGUUUGGAAAAAAGGUGGAGGAGACUGGGUGAAAUAAAUGAAUAAAAAUUCUCUUCUUGAGUGGAAUGGCAAUGAGGAAUUUCUUAUGGGGGGUUUAGCUGGAUCAAAGGUUACAAUAAAGCACAAGUAAUAGAUUUGCUUUAAACUAUACCAGCUGGUCCUCUCCUUUUAAAGGCUUGUGGCAGAGUGGCUUUAGUGAUGUUAUUGUGGGCAUCUGUUGGACUUGUUCCUGAGCACUUGAUUAGCAUUUGUCAUUUUUAAGGUGAAGGCUAGGAAAAUGAAGUGGUGUUGCAUUCAGUGUGAAGCUUGUAUUUCCUUUUGUAUUCUUCAGUUCCCUUCAGGAACUUUUCAGUUUCCUUGCAGGAAACUAAUACAAGGCUCUGGAUUAAUACACAGAGGUCUCCAAGCCAAGCCCAGUUUCAUCCCUUGUAACAACUGGUGCUUCUUAAGGGAGAUGCUAGCUCCCAGAAUAGUUACAUGGAUCAAGUUUGUCAUCUCCCUCUUCCUAAAGAUUGUUCUGCUUAGAAAGAGGGAGGAUGAACAAGAGUCAAUGGAAUAUCCAUUUCUCAUUAAAAAUAGUUCUUGUGCUGGCUAUUGUAGGGAAACUUUAUUUCCUUGGUGGCUUGUUGCUGAUCUCUGCUCUUGUCUGUUGGACUUCCACCCUGGAAAACAGGUGUAGAGAUGCUAUAAGUAGCAAGAAGUCUGAUGCAUGCAGUGAGUUCCUUGAAGACUCUAAAUUACAGUUUUCCUUCCUGUGCUACAACCUCAGGUCCCUGACCUGCAACUGCAGCAUAUUUUCUGUGACUAACAGCUGUAAUUCCCUAAUUAUCAUGCUCUGUUCUCCUGCUGUGCUGUAGAUUUUGUUACCAAGGAAGCAAACCAAGUUUCCUCGUUCCUACCCUUGCUCUGUACGCUCCCAACUGUUUUAAAUCCACCAUUUGAUGCAGCCCAUAAAGACAAAUGACUAUCUCUUGCUUCAAAUAGUCAAAGUUUCCAGAACAUAUUACGUAGCUGCAUGCUGGGGACAAAGAAGGAAAUUAAGUCUUUCUGGCCCUUCUUUCAGUGAAGGCAGCUGGUCCAAAGCUAUUGCUAAGUUAGAAAAAGUACCUUUACAGUCUCAAACAGUGGGCCCAAACAAAUAGUACUGUUGCAAUGUGACAGAUAAAACUUCUGCAAACCCCUGGAAAAUGAAGGUUGUGUGUGCCAUAGUAUCCAUACAGGCCUAAUCAUUUGAGGAUGACUAACAAGGGGUCAGUUCCUUUUUGCCUCCACUGCUUUUGAGGUUGGGGAUAAAUGAUUGUGUGCCACAUGGUAAUGAGAAUAAACCUGUGCUAAUCAAGGUGAUUCGAUCAAUACAACCAGCUGUAUUGUGACAGAUAAGCAGCUGUCACAGAAUAUCACAGAAAUGUGUUAAGAAGCAGAAAAACUAAACUAGGUUUCCUAAAACCUAAUGUUUACCCUUCUAAGUAUGCAAAGGUAUAUUUGAGUACUGCAUAUACUGAGGCUUUACUGGAUGAUGCCCAUCAUUCUCCUGCAGGAUGCACAAGGGCAAGUUUAGUUCUUAAAGCUGUUGUCACUUUGGACUCCAUCAGGCUAAUGUGGCUGUGUCCACAACAAGCAUCAAGCCCCCAGUGCCCUGGGUGGCAGUCGGUGACAAACAGGAAUGCUUUCCAUGGGACCAGCCUCCAGUAAUUAAUUCAUGGCUCACUCCAGAAAUAUCAUCCAAGUUGCAACAUGAAUGAUGUCUCCUGGAUCACAGGAUAAGAGUUACUGACUCCAUAUGGGGGAUUUGCUGCUUGACUCCUCUGCCCAUUGUUUGAGACUACCUCUAGUCCAGCCCUCUACAUGGGAUGGUUACAGCAAUAAAGGCACUUUUUCUAACCUAGAAAUAGCUUUGGACCAGCUGCCUUCACUAAAAGAAAGGCCAGAAAGACUUAAUUUUAAUUCUUUGUCCCAAGAGCUAGGAGGAUGCUCCUUCCUCUGGAUCCCUGGGAUUAAAUCCACAACUGGGUCUAGAACAGGUGACACCCAAGUUGGGAGGGCAAUGAAGGAAAUUGUCUGCUUGGCCUCAGUCAAAGGAGAAGGAAAAAUGAAAUACAAAUGCCAAAGAAAAAGAGUAGAUUUAGACAACACAAAAGAUGUCCCUGGCAUUAAGAUUGUCCAGCAUUGCUUCAUUUGCAAACUUGACAAUGGGCUUCAGUAGAGUGCAUUAUGUAGCUGGCAAGCAUGGAUCAGGUAUGGAGGCACAUAAAUCCAUUGUGGAUGUAUUUUUCAUUACAGAAUAAUGGUGAGAUAACCUAGACAACCUAUGAAAAUGCUUUUGUUCAGUUUCUGGAACUCUGCUCUUGUGCCUGUGUUUAAAUAUCAAGUAUUGUACACCUUAGCACAUACGUCAGAAUAUAUUGGUGUAACCGU